rnacentral:lncRNA from 1 species
CUUUAAAUGAAAUAGUGUGAACAUUCAGUGUUUUAAAAACAAUUGUGGAUCUUUACUGAUAAACAACUACUUUAGUUAAAUAUAUAGGUGAAAAGGGGAGACAAUAGGAGACUUGUUUAUUGCAAGUGACAGAUUAAUUUCCUUUCGUGAGAUAUCAAAAUAUUUUGGGGAAACAUUACAAGUGGAUCCCACUGCUAUAUGAACAUGAUGAAGGC